GUGAAUGAAAACGGUUAUUAUCCUGAUAUGAAUUCAGCUUAUGAUCCUGAAUUUAUAUUGUUAAAGCAGUCAAUGAUAUUAUUUCAGAGUUAUAACUGACUUAGCAAAGUCACGUUAUUUAUUUAAGCGAGAUGGAAUUAGAUUUUAUUUUUACUCAGAUCGUGAAUUAUUUCCGACUCAAGAAGUUAAUUAAAUCUGCGGAUUUAAUUUAGAUAUCAGAACAACGAACGAAUUAAAUCUACGGAUUUAAUUUAGAUUCAUUUUAUAACUUAUCGAUUUUAGCGAAAAAUCACAUGUCGAAAUACAAGAUUUAUUUAAAUAAACAGUACCAAGCAGAUACGAGCACGCGAUCCAUUUUACAGUUACAGAAUCACCGAGACAUAGAAAAUACAUCAUUAAUCCUACACUACAUUAUUAUUAUUAUUUUUUUUAUCUUCCACUACUUUGCUCCCCACUACUUUGCCUACCACUAUAUUUUGCCCACCACUAUACUUUGCCAAUCCUCUAUUAAUCAUCAUCUCCACCAUCCUGCAAUUAUCGAAGAGCAGCCCCUGCCUGUUUCUGCCAAAGUUCCCAGGGUAAGCUUUCUUUAAUGCUUCCACCUUCUUCCAUGGUUUCACCUGCAGUUAUUGAAGAAACAAAUCUGUAAAUUAUUUCAGUCAUUCACUCUCUGCCGAAAGUUCCAAGAGCUUUGGCACGUUGAUUCACUAGCUCAACCACAAUAGCCAACUACACAUUUUAAGGUCAAGCACGAGAUUAAUAAUCAGUUAAGGAGCUACUGUACCACAGAAAGUUUCUAACAGGUUGAGCAGCUGCCGAUGGUGAUGAAGUGACGAGCGGGAUUCUUUUGUCUUAUUAUGUAUUAAUGAACUCUAGGGUUACAUGUCUUCAUACAUGUAAUCAGAACCUUAUUCCGCUGCGUACUCAGAAGUUUUAUGUUUAUUUGGCUAAGUCAGAGAUAUCUGAA